GCUAUCAGCUUCUGGAAAUCAGACGGACUGAGGACUGAAAAAAUGGAUUUGGGUCCGGACCUGAAUUCCUUCAUCAGAGAUCCAGUCUGCAAUGUUCAGAGAUUAUUCCUGAAAUCAAGAUCAGUGCUGCAAAGUAGAGCUGAGCUCACCACCAAUCUUCCUUUCCCAAGUCUGUGUUUGGUAAUACAGUUUGAUCCAAAUCUCUGGAUUUUCAUAUUGUGGGCAGAGACCGUAGUUUAAACUGUCCUGUACCAGAUUUUAUUUCUCUCCCUGAACAAAUUGAAAAGGUUUCCUUCAGAGCCAAAAUGACAUAAAAUACAGCAGUUAAAAAUAAAACUCUGAAUCUCACCAAUAACAGAGCCCAGCAAGUAUUUCCAUCUAAUAGUAAUGCAUUACAUACGGACUCUGGGCAGUACUCUCCCUUUGAAGAUCAUGGGAAUUUUGCCAUUUAUUUCUGCAUAAAAAAUAAAACGCUGAAUGCUCA